rnacentral:rRNA from 1 species
AACGAACGCUGGCGGCAUACCUAACACAUGCAAGUCGAACGAAGGCUUCGGCCUUAGUGGCGCACGGGUGCGUAACGCGUGGGAACCUGCCCCCUCGGUUCGGAAUAACAGUUAGAAAUGACUGCUAAUACCGGAUGAUGACUUCGGUCCAAAGAUUUAUCGCCGAGGGAUGGGCCCGCGUAGGAUUAGCUAGUUGGUGGGGUAAAGGCCUACCAAGGCGACGAUCCUUAGCUGGUCUGAGAGGAUGAUCAGCCACACUGGGACUGAGACACGGCCCAGACUCCUACGGGAGGCAGCAGUGGGGAAUAUUGGACAAUGGGCGAAAGCCUGAUCCAGCAAUGCCGCGUGAGUGAUGAAGGCCUUAGGGUUGUAAAGACUCUUUUACCUAGGGAUGAUAAUAGACAGUACCUGGAGAAUAAAGCUCCGGCUAACUACCGUGCCAGCAGCCGCGGUAAA